AUCUGUUGACGAUAAGCCUCCGAGGAGGCGAUCGUCCCCAAGAAAAGUGGAUGAAAGCAGAUCCAGGCACAAGAAGCGAUCCAGGUCAAGAUCUGUGGACGAUAAGCGUCACUUGUCUGCGAAAUUGGAUGAAAACAGAAAUAGAAGAUCAAGGCAUAGUGAUAAAAGGCGCUCCAGAUCGAGAUCUAUGGAAAAUAGGGACCGGGCUUAUGUCAGAGAGGAUGGAAGCAAACAUGAAAAGUCAAAAAAUCACGAUACAAAAUAUAACAGGUCAGAAUCUGAUGAAGGGAAGCAUCACUCUAAAGGUAAAUCAGGUGAAAAUAGAGAUAAGAAAUCAAAGCAUCGCGAUAGAAGGCAUUCAAGGUCAAUAUCAUCAGAAGGUAAGCAUGACAAAGGAGGCACUUCAGCUCAUAGAGAAGAGAGAGAUUUUGAACACAAAAGAUUCAGGUCGAAGUCUCCUAACGCCAAGCACCACGGCAAUGAUAAAUAUGGUAAUAAAGAUGAAAGAUCAGAGCAUCAAGAGAAAACCUUGUUUAAAUCAAAAACAGAAAAUCAUCAGCAAGAUGAAGGGAGUGGGCACUCCCCAAGAAAUUUCAAGGAGUGUGAAUCAAAAGGAAAAACAAAAUCUGGUUCUAGAUCUGCAGAAUUUAAGCAUCAUUUGACCGAUGGAGAAAGUGAUCCCAGUGAAGAAAAUUCAAAACAUCUUGAAAAUGGCAUACAAGAACCAAUUUUAAAUGCGAAGGACUUAACAAACCUGAAUGAUAAUGGGAUAUUAAUUCGUGAGAGUGAAAACCCGAAUUCAGAUGGGUCAACUGGAAAUGCAGGAGCUGAUGAUAACCCAGGUAUGGCAAGUCCUAUAGUCUGAACUCUUAACAUUGACAUUAUUCAUGUAAGGUUAGACGUUGCAAAAUCUCAGCUUAUUCUUUGAUACAGGGUGGAGAUGUGUGGAAGAAGUUGGAAGUCGGAAAUAUUAAGCAUGCUUGCCUUGGUAAUAGCCAAUGAUCUUAAUUAUAGAACAGAUUUGAUUACUUACGUGUCAUUAUAAAAGCUAAGUUGCCUUCUGUGUGCUUUACAGGAGUGGUGGAUCUCAACGAUUUUACCUGGCUUUUGACAAUGCUAACAACAUAGCUAUAAGUAUAGAUUUUUGUUAUUUCAUCUCAAAUGGAGGAGUACGUAAAAGAGGACACUGAAAGUCCCUUGCUUAUAAAUGCUGAUCAGAGAAGCUGUUAAUGGAGACAGAUAUGAUUUAUCAUCUAUAGAGCAUAAUAUUGUCGGAUAAAGCACUACACAGAUCAUGGUGUUGUCUAUGGUUGAAGAUUUAUGCACCUGUUAAUGAUUAUGGGAUGACAGCAUAUUCUAACUAAGGAUGCAACAGAUCUACCGUUCCUCUUAGGAGAAGUGUCAUUCUCAGAGGAUGCUUCCAGUAUUUGAUUGGGUCCCAAGAAUAUUCUGUUGGCUUAUGAACUUCUUCGAUUGUUUAUUUCUUUUUGCAGGUUGGAUUUGGAAAGAUCAGAUGUAGAAUCCCACAGCUGUUGGUGUGAUUUAAGAUUUCAAGAAAUGACCUGCUUUUGUCAUGAUCAACCAUGCCGAACUAUAUCGUGCUUCUUUUACUGGUUGAUUGAUGUAUGUUGGAUGUUAUUUUAAAUAUACUGUUCAUCUUGUUUAAUUAAAGGUGUCACAUUUUACUAUGUUGGGUAUUGAUAUUAAUUUUUAAAAUCUGGUGGAAUCUGAAUAAUUUUAGUUUUUCUGGUCCUUCAGAAAUGUUGGUUUCUAUUAACCAGUCUCCUUAUUAUAUAUAUGUAAAACUUUUUUGGGCCAAGGGUAGAAGUGAUGUGUAAUCUGAACCAUCUAUUGAUGUUUUAGUUUAUGUCGUCUUGUUAGUCUCUAUUGCAUCUAGAUUAUAUUAUAUACCCUCCAGGGAGUUUUCGUAGUAUGAUCAUGUUUAGUUGAGAGCCACAUUCUUUAUGUGGCCCACCAUAGGUUCCAUUUCAAUUACUCAUACUUUGUGAUACGGUGGGCAUGUUAUAUCCCAAAACAAAUGCAGGUUACAUUCACAUUGAAAUCUAUUGGAGCUUUGAGAUACAGUUUUGCCGGGUUGAUUUUCUCUUGUAUAAAAAUGAAGGUAUGCAGUCAGAUUCUGAUGCUCUAUGGUUCACAGAGCAUAUCUUUUUGUUUUUCCCCAAUAAGUGUUGAGAGCAAUGAGAGCUUCUUAAUUUUGUACUAUGUUUGAGUGUUCGCAUUAAGUACUGUUUGCCAAUAUUUUUACAAUCAUCAUCUGGUGUCUUAUAUUGUCCUGCAUUUUUUUUCGUUUUUCCUUUUUUUUUUUUUUUUUCCUUUUCUCCCAAGCAAUUGUCAUGGUUAGGUAAAGCUUCUAGAUAAGGUCAACUGAACCUGGAUGUUGCUGCAAUGAGUUACACCAUGUAGCGAUUGAGCAAUUGGCUGACUUACAGCUUAUUCCUAAGUUAAUGCUGAAUUACAAAUGAUUUCAACAGGUAAUUCUCCGUGAAACUAUUGGUUGUUCCGCCAUAUGUGUAGGUUCUUCAGUAACAUUUGUAUGUAUGCUUCAUUUAGUUUUUUCAUUUUCAUGUUCACAGUGAUGGUUCCAUAUUUCACUUAUUGCAGUUCUAUGCACUUUGACUGGUUUUCAGUCAUCUUGGUGUUGUGAGUUUUUGUCGUGUUAAUUGAUAUGAUUGCGGUUUUAAAAUGUACAAUUGUUGCUAAUAAGUUUAGCUCUUUUAAAGUGAACAAUUUGCUUUAGAGGAUAAGGUGGUCUCCUUUUCAACCAUAGAUAAAUAAAUCAACAAAUGAUAUUGUGUAUGCAUAACAAAUAAUGCUCAAUUAGGAAUAUCAAAAGUUGUGUUUUUUAUCUUCUCAAUAACGAUUGACAUGUCUUACUUUAUCCUCUAAAGCGAAAACCCACUUUAGAGGAGCCUAGUGAGAGAUGCCGGAUAACUUUAGGAUUUUUCCUUUCUCAAGAACAUGAGACAUUAUUUUGGUGAUUGUGAGUCACAUUUGAAGGUUUUCCCCUUUUCUUUUGGUCUUUUUUUUUCCCUCUCACUCUUCCCUCCCCUUCUUUCCCCGAUUUAACUUUUUCUGGUUAGGUUAAGCAAUGGAUAUGAUGAUCUUAUGAGCAGCUGCAAAAUGUCUUCACCAGAUGGUUCUGUGAAGUUUGUUUUUAGAAGUUCUUUGUAUUAUAUUUUCCCUAUUUUUUAGGGUUAAAUGUCCUAAUAUAAUCUGUUCUCUCUCCACAAACUGGUCUGGUCACUGACCGCAUCCCCGAUAAGUUGGACCUUAUAUUAGGGUAUUCGGCUUUGCAUAUAGUAUAUAAUAUAUGCAAAGCCCGAUAAGUGUUUGUUCUGCAUAUAGUAUAAUAAUAUAAUAAAAAUAAAAUAACAAGGUUAGUUUGUUCUUAGUUCUGCAUAGUACUAAAACAAAAAAAAAGCAAGCAUUAUUUUUCUUGUUAUAGAUCACUUUUACUAACAUUUAGUCACGAAACCAAUCCAACCACUUCCAGCGAAGGCUUAGAAUCAAUAAAGCGUCAUUGAACUUGCUUCAUGAGACAUCUGAGUUUAGAACUCUUAACUCGUGAAACAUGAAUUCAAUGAAAAUAUAUUGCUUUAUAUAACGAACUAAACAAACAAUUUCAUUCCUAAUUUUUGAUAAUACUCAUUUUACAAUCAUUCAAUAUUCAAUCUCUCUUUAUCAAAGAAAUAAAAAGAAUCUAUUGCUCUUCAAUAAACUACAUAAAAAAAUAACUCAAUAUCCAAUUAUAUACAAUGAUUAUUCAAUUUUUAAAAUUAUUGUGUCGAUCACUUGAUAGCACAAUUAGACUUAUUCAACCCUUAAUCUCAAUUAGCAACUUUCUCCAUUUUAAUGCAUAAAAUUGUUAUUGUAGGCGAUAUUAGUCAAUUAAUUAAACUACCUAUAUCUAUCUUUAUAUAACAUGUAUUAAAAAAAAAACAAUCACUUGCGCAUUUAUGUGUUAAAAGUUUAUUUUUCCCAACCCACACUAUGGGGAUUUAUGUGUUAAAGUUUUUUUUCCUCUGAAUUUCAUCACUUGCGCAUUCAGUUUCUUCAAUUUGUCGUUCUCAUUCUUGUUUGAGGGCUUAAAUGAUCUUCUCUAAAAUUUUAACCAAUUAUUUUCUCUACUAUCUUUAAGAUUUCAACCAAAUGAAUUUCAGCAAACGUCUUUAUCCUUUUCAUCAUAAUGUAGUUAUAGUAAUGUAACAAUAAUGAUAAUAUAUGCUACGAGGGCAAAUUAGAAGGUUGCAUCUGACAGGAAAUUUUAAGUGGGAAACAAACGUAAUGUAAGCAAUGUGUGAUAUCAGAUUAUUAUAACCACUUGAUGUGCAAAUGGACAACCACUUGUAGUUACUCGGUUGUCUGAGCCCGUAAAAACAAAUAGAUGCAAAUUGUUUGUAUCACUGAAAUCAGGUUAUAGGUGUAAAUCACAAGAGUAGUCUAUAUAUUCGGAAAAAUGUUUUGUCAACGUCGGUGAAAGAGACUGAGAUAUGUAGCAAAUACAGUGUAUGAUAGAUAAUCUUCAAUAAAAAGAUUAAUGUUUUGAAUAUAAUUUUAAGUUUUGAAAUGCAUACAUUACUGACAAAUCUAUUAUAUAUAUAUAUAUAUAUAUAUAUAUAUAUAUAUAUACAUAUAUAUAUAUCAGUUUCUAUGAAGUUCUACCUACGUCUAACAAACGAUAAUCUAAAAGACAAUUAGCUAUGAAAUGCAUCUACAUGUUUGAUUUGUUUAUACAUAAUAAAAAUGCAUCAAACAAAUAAAGUGAAACUACAAUUUAAAUUAUCACAAUAAAUUCCACAUCCACCGAGGAACAUAAAAAAAUAUCAUAUAUAUAUAUAUACAAAUAUAUCAGUUUCUAUGAAGUUCUACCUACGUCUAACAAACGAUAAUCUAAAAGACAAUUAGCUAUGAAAUGCAUCUACAUGUUUGAUUUGUUUAUACAUAAUAAAAAUGCAUCAAACAAAUAAAGUGAAACUACAAUUUAAAUUAUCACAAUAAAUUCCACAUCCACCGAGGAACAUAAAAAAAUAUCAUGAAGUAGAUUUGCAUAAACAAGUUGAUUAUAGUUGAAUAUUAUUCUACGAAAAUGAGAAAAAGUAGUGGAAUGAUUUAUUUCAUAUAAUGAACGAGAGAACCAUAUUCUUCAUGGUUAGCCGCUAAAUGUUGAAUUUAAACAAAGUUAUUAAUAUAUUAUUUGGUUUUACAAAAAUUUCAAACGAUUUAUUUCUUUAGAAAACCAAUUGAUUGAUCAUUGUGUCAAUCCAUCCUAACCUCCACCACAAUCUACCCAACAUUUUUUCCAAAAACUAAUGUCCAACACAACACAUUAAAAUCAAUAUUAUACACCAACCGCUUCCUCAUACUUAUUCCUACACACCACAUCAAUCUUACGGAUUUACGCUCGAAAAACAAUUUAAUUUUGACAACCAACAACCACAACAAGAAGAUAAUUGUUGACUAUCUUUUGCAUCAAGCGAGGAUACGUUAUUGUAUAACAUGUCUAAUACUCGUUAUAAUACACCUGAGUCAUUUAUCCAUUUACUUAAUAAUAUGUAUCAAUAAAAUUUUCAGAUUAUAAGCUUUGAGAAUGCAUAUACUUCGUUAAAUCAAAUAUCCAACUGAACUUAAGGUGAAAAUAAUUAUUCUGCAACACUUUCUCCUCAACAUCCUCAAGAACAAGAAGAAAAAGAACAAAUUCGUGAUGUACCAAGAUGACAUCGUUUUUUAUGAAUGAAUUUUAAUGAAUUAUAUAUAUAUAUAUAUAUUGUUGAUUUUUUUUAAAAUUAAAUGUAAAAAAAAAAUUACCUUAAGAAAGUCGCAUUUACAAAUUCAAUUUUCUUAGACUUUAUUAAAGAAGUGUCAUUUACAAAGACGAUUUUAUAGCUAAGAAAAAAAAGAUAUUUUGAUAUAUAAUUUAAUAUAUUUUUUUGUUGAAAUAAGAGUUCUUAAAAUAAAAUCUUUUAGUAUUUCUCUUAAAAAAAAACGAUUUUGAAAAUUAAAUAUGACUUAAUUGAUGUUUUGAAAUUUUUCUAAAUUAAAUUGUUAGGAGCUUAACUAAAACGAGGAGUAGAAAAUAAGUGAAUCCAAAGGAGGGGCUAAAUCUAAUCAAAAUCCUAUGAAAAUACCACAAGAAUCAGUAAGAAAUAUUAUUAUUUAUUUUAUAAAAUAAAAAGAACCACAUAAGCAUGUUCCCAUAUAGAUCACAGUGACCCGUUCGUUCGCGUAUCAGUAUUUCGACCCAAAUCUCCAACAUCAAACUUGGCCGUCAGACGGAGGAGAACAGGUACGACUUCUCCACCAUCUCACCUUUUCCUUUUCCCUUUCUACCCUUUCCCUUUCCUUACUCUCAAUAUCGAUCUCCUUCUUCCAUCAACCCCAUAAUAGUCAUAUCACCUUUUCUUCUUCCCCCAAAAAUUAUCCCCUGGAACGUUUCAUAUAUCUUCCCCCUUUUUUUUUCUCUGCUCAAUCUUUCAAAUCCGAGAUCAAUUUUCUUUUCCAUCUUUUCAUUUUCGGAAUAUCUCUGCGUUUAACAUCAGAUUCAAUAUAUUUUCACUUUUUUGUUUUUCAUAGGGUUUUUUCCUCCCUAAUUCUAGGGUUUAUUGUUUUCAAUUUUAAUAUGUUUUUUCUCCGUUAACGGAAGUUGAGUUGAAUAAUUACAUCAAUUAAGUACUCAUAUUUUAUUGUAGAUUCGUCAGUUUUUUGUUAUUGUUGUUGAAGUUAGGGUUGAUGGCUGAUCGGAGUUUAGCCGUUGUGAAGCCGGUUUGGAUGAAGCAAGCCGAAGAAGCGAAGCUGAAGAGCGAAGCAGAGAAAGAUGCGGCUGCCAAAGCUGCUUUUGAAGCCACGUUUAAGGGUUUGGUGAAAAGUCACGAGAAGAGGGCUGCUAAUUCGGACAGUGAUUCGGAUGAAUACGAGGAUUUGGCCCAUAAGCCCCUUGGGCCUGUGGAUCCUUCCAAGUGCACUGCUGCUGGCACUGGAAUUGCCGGAGGAACGGCCUGUGCUCCGUCUUCGUUCUCUGUGGUGACUAAGGAUGCUGAUGAGAGGAGGGUUUCAAUUGGGGGUGCACAAAUUAAGGUGAAAGUGACGCCAGGUUUGGGUGUUGGAGGGUCUGAUCAAGAAGGGAUUGUCAAGGAUAUGGGUGAUGGAACUUACACUGUUACUUAUGUGGUGCCUAAGCGAGGGAACUAUAUGGUUAAUGUUGAAUGUAAUGGCAGGCCAAUCAUGGGUAGUCCAUUCCCUGUCUUUUUCAGUGCAGGUAUUCAUCAUUACCAAGACAGCAAAAUCAUCUGCUUUAAUGUUUACUCUAUGUGAAUAUGUAUAUCUGCAAUGUGGUUCUUUUGAGUUUUUCGAUAUAAGUUGUCAAUAGCGUGCUAUAGCGAUAUAGCGGCCACUGGUCACUUUUCAAAGUAUGAAUUGGAGCAUUUUGCUGUGGCGACUGUUAUCGCAACUGCAGCUAAAUGUUUUGGAAAUGAACUUUGUUCUAUAUAUUAUUUAAUUUAAUAUUCAUAUACAUACAAAAUUCAGAAUUAGCAGUCAUCCCGCAAUGCUCCAUCUUGCUUUAGUGUUUUGAGGUUGGCUGCUACACACUGCUAUCCAGGAUCAAUAACUGCCAAUUAUACUUGGUUUCUGUUUUAUAUAGUUGGGUUGUUUGGUAUUUACUUAUGAGUAGGAAGGAACACGAGGGUCUAAAUCUAAGCAAAUUUAGUAACAAAUGCUGAAGUUAAAAAUAUAAUUCUCUCCAUUUGGGAUAACGGGAUUUGUUGCUUAAGUCACCUCCUUUUCAUUCUUGAUAUCCGUGGUAUGCUGUAUCAUAAAAUAAAAUACUGAAUUAAUAAAUAAAUAAGAUGACCUUUUUGAUACACACAUCUGUAUUUUGGUUUAUAGUAAUCACAAUGCUUGCCAAAUUUUAAUUCCUUGAUUUGUUUUUGUUGUAGGUAAUGGUAAUGGAGGGCUUUUGGGUUUAGCUCCUCCAUCUUCAUUUCCAAAUCUGGUUAAUCAAACUAUGCCCAACAUGCCAAAUUACUCUGGCUCCGUUUCAGGGGCAUUCCCAGGAUUGUUGGGAAUGAUUCCAGGGAUUGUUGCUGGAGCUUCUGGGGGGGCUAUUUUGCCAGGAAUUGGGGCUUCACUCGGGGAAGUUUGUCGCGAUUACCUUAAUGGGCGCUGUGCUAAAGUUGAUUGUAAGUUGAAUCACCCACCUCAUAAUUUGCUGAUGACUGCCUUAGCUGCAACAACUUCAAUGGGAACACUUAGCCAGGCUCCUAUGGCACCUUCUGCUGCUGCAAUGGCAGCUGCCCAGGCAAUAGUUGCGGCCAAAGCCCUUCAAGCUCAUGCAGCUCAAGUGCAAGCUCAGUCAGCAAAAGAUUCUACCGGUAUGGUGUGUGGUAUAUUAAUUUUGUUUGUGUUGGUGGUAUGUUCUUGAUAUUGCACUAUGUUUGGUUGUGACUUUGUUGACAUUUUUUGUUGUCUUUUUACUGUUUCCUGGUUGUUUCUUACAACUGAUUUUGCCACCACUAUCAGGUUCACCUGACAAAGCUAAUAAGGAGGAUGUGUUGAAGAAAACUCUUCAAGUUAGCAAUCUUAGCCCACUUCUCACUGUGGAACAGCUAAAACAACUCUUUGGUUUCUGUGGCACUGUUGUUGAAUGCACAAUCACUGAUUCAAAGCAUUUUGCUUAUAUAGAAUACUCAAAACCCGAAGAGGCAACUGCGGCAAUGGCUUUAAACAACAUUGAUGUUGGGGGGCGUCCUUUGAAUGUUGAAAUGGCAAAAUCACUUCCGCCGAAAUCAGCUAUGAAUUCUUCACUUGCUUCAUCCUCCCUCCCUUUGAUGAUGCAGCAAGCUGUUGCCAUGCAACAAAUGCAAUUCCAGCAAGCGCUGCUUAUGCAACAAACUAUGACUGCACAGCAGGCUGCUAACCGAGCUGCAACCAUGAAAUCUGCCACAGAUUUAGCAGCAGCACGAGCUGCAGAAAUUAGUAAGAAAUUGAAUCCCGAUGGACUUGAAAUCGAAGAGAAAGAGACGAAACAGAAGUCCAGGUGUGAUUUUUUGCUGGUUGUUUUAAGGAUAAUGUAUUAUUCUUUAUGGUCAUUGUUUAAUUUCUUUCAAUUUUGAUUUAUUGUUGCAACUGUUUGAUAUUUUGUUAUUAGCAUGCCCUUGCAUAUGAAAUUUAGGAAUCAUGAACUCACAAUGUGGUGCCUGAAAACUUAAGAUGUAGCAUAUUGAGCAAAGAAAUCUUAAAUGCGUGUGUACAAGAUUGUAAAGUUACAAAUGAGGCAAACUUCAGAGAAGUGUGGUUGAAAUUUUUGAAUCAAAUCAAGUUCCUAUUUUUUUUCUAGCUAGAAAUGGUAGAGUUGUGUCUAUAGAAGUCAAAGGCAGCAAACCUUUAUCAUAUAAGAAGAUUUGGUUUUAAUGAGUUUUGUUUGUAUUUAGAACUAAGCUGUGUCUUCUGUUGAAGAAUCAAACAUAUUGUUAGUGGCCUGGCAGCUGGCAAGUUUAUCACGGAUCAUGUUUAUUUUGAAAUAAACUAUGAUGACAAAAUAUUGUUUUACGUUAUUAUUUUAGAUUGUGUACCGUUCAGUAUCAUGUUUUUAUUUUUAAAUGUCUCUGUAAAACUAAAACUGAAUAUCCUUUUGUAGAUCACCUUCUCCCCCUCCCGAAAGAUCACGAUCAAAGUCAAGAUCUCCUAUCAAUUAUCGGAGGAGGAGGAAGUCUCGUUCCUUCUCACCUGCUCGUCAAUCUAAGGAUCACCGGUCCAGGUCACCAUUGAGGUUCCAUCAUCAUUCAAGGUAUGAAAGGGAAUGGAGAUCCUAUAGAGAGAGCAGGGAACAUAGUGAUAGGUUCAGAAGACGAGAUUCAGAUAGAUUUAUUGAUCAUUCAUCUGGUUCGAGAAGAAACAGAAGUAGGAGUGUUAGCCCUCAUGCAAGGAGAUCACCUGUUUCUCCUAAACGUCACACAGGAAGUUCGUCUCAUAGAGGAAGGAAACAGUCUCGUGCUGAUUCUGGCUCUCCAAGUCAUUGCAGAGGAAGUAGGUCUUCUCCAAAGAUUGAUGAAAAGAAAAUAAGAAACAGAAGGCGCUCAAGGUCUAGAUCUUCAGAUGAAAAGCUUAACCUUUUUGACAAAAAUGACGAAAUCUUGCCUGAAAAGGCGAAACAUAGAGAGCGAAGGCGGUCGAGGUCAGUGCCUGUGGACGAGAAGCCUCACAGGAACCAAUCAUCCCCAAGAAAAGUAGAUGAAAGCAGACCUAGGCACAGGAAGCGGUCCAGGUCAAAAUCUGUGGACGAUAAGCAUCACUUGUCUGACAGAUUGGAUGAAAACAGAAAUAGAAGGUCAAUAUCUUCAGAUGAUAAGCUUAACCCCUCCGACAAAAACGAAGAAAUCGUACAUGAAAAAUCUAAACAUAGAGAGCGAAGGCGGUCCAGGUCCUUAUCUGUUGACGAUAAGCCUCCGAGGAGGCGAUCGUCCCCAAGAAAAGUGGAUGAAAGCAGAUCCAGGCACAAGAAGCGAUCCAGGUCAAGAUCUGUGGACGAUAAGCGUCACUUGUCUGCGAAAUUGGAUGAAAACAGAAAUAGAAGAUCAAGGCAUAGUGAUAAAAGGCGCUCCAGAUCGAGAUCUAUGGAAAAUAGGGACCGGGCUUAUGUCAGAGAGGAUGGA
rnacentral:lncRNA from 1 species